GAGCUAAAAAGACUUCCAAGAAGACCCUAAGACAAAAUGAAGGCUCUCAUUUUGAUCGGUGCCAUCUUGAUUGUCACUGCUUGCUUCUCGCCAGCUGAUGCACAUAAGCGGAAAAGCUUCAGGGAUAAAAAUCAGAACAGCAUGUCCCAAAAGGGUCUCCAUGAAACACUAAAACACUAGUAUGAAUAAAUGAUACACACACACACA
rnacentral:lncRNA from 1 species